UAUUCUGAAACAGACAGCACUAUUGUUAUCUGUUUCGAAUUACUUUUGCCAUAUAGUUAUGAAACACUGAAAAUGAUGCAAUCUGCAGAAAUACUGAGGCAUAUUAACAUUUUAAACUGCGGCCCUGAUAGGAACUAAUGGAGCAGCACAUGAAAGGAAAAAAUUCUCCCUCUCUUAAGCAAGUCAAAACCCACUUUUGGGCACUAAACGCAGGAGAUAAUAAAUUUGUCAGACAGAAAAAGAGAAUAAUUACAAUCUAAAUUGCUCUUUUCUUAAAAGAAAUCAGCUUUUUGGAAAGUGAUUUAAAAAUUCUGUUUCUGGCACUUGCACGGAUAGACAAAACAAACCCCUUUUUUUCCAAAACUAAAUAAGGCAAAGGAAAUCUGCACUCUAAUACUGCAAAGACUGUAAGAGGAGAGCAUCCAGUCUGGAUGGGAACGCACAUCCAUUGUGUCUGCCGGGCAGCGGGGCAGCACCCGCCCGAGCACAAACCCAGGCGGAUGCUCCAGCACGGGUUUUGAAGGCAGCUGCUGAGUGCCAGUGAGCAGCCACGCCACAGACUUUGGUAAAGAUUAAGCUAAAUAAUGCAUUUCUCAUUCUUGCAAGGGGAUUGCAAGACACAGAGGAGGGUUGAAAAACCCGCUCCUGCCCAGCCUGCCCAUUUGCAUCGCUGCAGUGAAAUUUUGGUCCAGGGCUGUAUCCCUGUGGGUGCAGCACGACCCACCUUUGCCCCACCAAGCAAUCUCGUUCUUGAAGCAAUCUGCUUCAUUGGGUAGCCUCUAAAGGACAGCUGUGAUUUUGGACUUGUCUGUGAGGAAGAAGAGGCAGGGAGAGAGAUGAGGAUGGUUACCUGCAAUCAGCCAUCACAUAGAUCCUCUCCAUGGCAAGUCCUGUGCUGCUAUAGCCCCCCCCCCAAAAAUGCUUGGGCAAAUCUGCAGCACCAAAACAAGUCUGAUUCUCCAACCUAGGCAGUUCUGACUCUCCUACAGCUUUCUCCUCUUAAAUCGUUCAGAUCUUCACACUAAGGUCUGGAGAGGGACAUCUCACCACACCAUACGUUGGGAGAACACAACCGAGCUGAAUCCUGUAUCCAAACAAACCAUCAUACAGCUGCAGCCUGUGUUCAAGCUCAAAGACAGAGCUGUCUAAUAAACAGUUUAAGAGCCACGAAGAAGGAAUGAGGAGGACUUGGAAAGCUGUCAGACAUAUGGAUACACAGAGCGCGUGGUUUGAGAAAAUACAAAAACACCUUGAGAGACCUUCAGCCAUUUCCUGACCUUCGCUUUUCUAAUAUUUCUCAGAGACUUGGUGCACAUUUCUCAGGAAUUUCUAUUGUGCAAACAACCUUCAGAAAAAUGCCGAGGCUUUUGUCUGCCACGGAGCAUGCCUGAACAUCCUUUCAGAGGAAGUAAACUGCCCAUCUUAUUGCUCCCAAAUGGUUACAGGAGAAGCACAUCCCACGCAUGAGAUUAGCAACCUCUCAGCUGAUCUGACAUCAGUUUCAAACAUAUAGUUCUGUCUUUACCAAAAAUAACUGCAAAUGGAGAUGUCUGGCUGGCUGAAGUGCUGUGGGAUCUUGGACAAUGCAACAGAUCUUUAUACAGGGUGUUACGAGCGUUGAGAGAAAUACCUCUCGCUGUCAAACCCUGGACAUUUUGUAUUUCCCUGUGAAUUUCAGCAUCCUGAAAACAAGGAAGGGAAAACACGAGUGGACAAGCGGGGAACCCCAAAAGGUUGUCAGGAAGCACAUGAAUUAUGACCUGCAGCUGCAAACCAGCCUCCCAAAACGAAGCCGUGCCCCUGCAGCCCUGCAAUGUCCCACUGGAGCAUGAGCCCUAGCGGUUGUCAGCAGUAAUGUCAAUCUCCUCUACUGCUUGCAUUAGUUCAGCUUCAAUUUUGCUUCAUGUUUUUCAGUUCUGGGUAACUAACGUGCGAACUGUACACUAUCACAAUGAGAAAUGAUCUUUGCUGCCACCCCAGCAGCCCAGUGCAUGGCCCACUAUCACCAAACUCACUCCAAAAUGAGAAUUUGUGGCUUAGGGGUUUAGUCCCUGGAAAUACCUACAAAAAGUCAGCUAAAAGAAAACAAAUACCAGAAAAUAGAGUUAUUACAGGAUUUGGUCCCAAUGGGGAACCCCCAGAUACAAAGACCCCUGCAGCUCUCAGCAGUGCUGGUCGUGAUGCAAGGCUCUGGGGAUUCCAGCCUCUGAAGCUCUGAAGGCAGGACUAUGAUUUCUGGAAUCUGGAAAGUCUUUAGGAUUCGGCCCUGGGAAGCCCACACGAUCCAUGUAUUGCCUGGGCUGGGUGCUCCAUGAAAAAGGAAGAGGUUAUCUGUUCUUUCAUCUUGUAACUCACAACCUGGUAGGGACAGCGGUGGGAAAGCAGAGCUCGGUAUGAAGGCACCCACCAUAUUUCCAGCACAAGCCCAGGAAAGAAUGUUAACCCUGCGGAAGAAACCUGUUUUACAAUUUUUUACCCCACUUUUAUCUCUCUGGUCUGAAGAUGGAUAUGCAGGGGUAAGGAGUCACCGGGUCCAUGAAGAAAAGCCUGCUCUGUUCAGACACCGUCAAAAGCACAGCUGCAGCAGCACAUCCUCGCCUCCACGUUGGGGUUAUUCCAAAGCAGAAGUCCAAAAUACAGCCCACAGUAGUAAAAACAACAAACUGGUGAUGGAAGGAGGUGCGCGGCAGCGAGGACCUCUCGUCUCAUCCCUGACACCCACCUGCUCCGGGGUCUUGACAAAGAAGUUGCUACUGCAAAUACUUUUCACAGCAUCUGCACUUGAAGGCAUCACCUCUUCUUCCGUGUGACUGAUGACAACUACAAGUAUUCUGCCAAAAUUCAAGUUUCCUUUCCUUGAAAGCUUUGGUGAGUUUGCUGCCCUGACAGUAAGGCCAGCUGUGGCUGGCUAUGGCCAGACAUGACACAAACGCACCGCUCCGUCUUUGGGGUUUCACACUCUGACUCUGCUCAGCCAAGCCCAGUUCCUUCCAUACCAGGGAAGUGCUUUCAUUUUAAGUAUCCUAUGCUUGGAUACCAGCACUUCUGUAUAGACCCAAGAUAUCCUAAUCAUCCACUUGCCAUCUAUUCCUGUUUCACAGCCCCAAGCUUAAAGCCCUCUCCAUCGCUGCUAAAUCACUCUGCACCACGGAGCACACGUAGACCACGCCUGUAGACGAGGCGGAAAGCAGCAGGAAAGACGUCGCCGACAAAGCCAGAGAGCAGUGAAUCUGCUUGACACAAGCAAGGACGCUGCAUGGAAAGACAAACAUUUGGUAUCACUGGGGCUUGUAUUUCAUCUGGUGUUUGAACAGCAGCCUGCGACACAGCCGAGCCACUCAGGGCCUCACCAAGACGUACACAUGAUACAAAGCAGUAACAGCAGAGACGCUGGAGGAAAAGAAUCUGAGAUUUCCACCUCUGCUUGAAAAGAAUAUGAGAGAAGAUGACCCACCAAAAAAGGGUGGGGGAAAAAAGACUGCAAACGAUAACAGACAGGGGAAUCUGUGCAACUACUGCAAAGCUAAUUGUGUUUUGAUUCCAUGUUUCCAUGGAAAGAGUUUUAACCGUGCUGGGUGAAAAGCCAAAUACGUUUUCAUAACGAUUCACACUGCAUGAAUGGAAAUACUUAACAGAAGGAGUAUUCUUUCUAAUCAGCACUCUAGCUUCGAAUACAAUUCUCUCUCCUUUGUCCUUUACCCUUUUCUUCUUCUUCGCACCAUUGUUUUCAACCUUUGCUGGAAGAUUAAAUCAAAAAUGCUGUGCCUGGGGAGUGCUGGGGACUGUAAACUUCCAUCUGUGGCCAAGAGCCCUGCUCAUCUCUCAGACUGCUGUUCCUUUCGCUGCACUGCUAGGUUUCGUCUUCUAAGAGGGAUCCUAACGACAGCAGAAAGCACGUGAGCCCAUACGAGCCUCCAGUAUAGCAGGCCAGCCAGCCUGGGCUGGCAGAUCAUUUAGAGCUUAUCGCUCGGUAGGACAUCCAGUUCUUGAUGGAAAACUUCAAACAAUGGAGCGCUCACUCUUUCCUACAGCAUGUUACUCAAGAAAUUAACUAUCUUCAGCCCUCAAAGCCUGCACUGUCGUUCCUACAGCCUCAACUUGCUUAGCCGCAUCUUCUAAGCCCACAUUGCACAUAUGGCUCCUCCAUCAGAGCAAAAUGUUGGAAGGAAUCCCUGUCCCAUGCAUAUGGUUAGUCCAAGGCCACCCAAACACUUGGGUUGAGGCAGUGGAAGAAGAACCACGGUGGCCUCCAGCAGCUCAGCCCCAGAGGUCCCCAGGGGCUUUCUCCCUCCACGUGUCACUUCUCGCUUCUUGCUGUCAUUCACCUCACAGGGGGCUUGCUGGAUUUGGCACAAACUACCACAGAAAGCUUUCCCAAAUCUUGAAGAGCUACACCUAGCAAACUUACCACGAGGGACAGCUACUAGGGGAGGAUGGCAAAAGAACUGAAGCACCAGACCACAACUCCUCGCCAGACCCCAGAAGAAAUGCACGAUAAUAGAAUUAAAAACCAAUUUCUUGUAUUAACGAUUCUUGGCAAGGAAGGUUUUCCUCUCAGGCACUGUAAGGACCAGUGAACUGCAAAAAGGACUUGCAAAAUAAUGGAGACCCUGCAGUGACCGAAGGGGAAGGUGUCAGGGAAGAGAAGAACCUCACCAUCUCCAGAUCACUUCCAUCCCCAGGAGCCCCGCGGCCGCAGCACGUUCAUCUGCCCCGCUGCAAGCCAAAGCUGAGAGCAGCAUCUCUGCACCGAGCAGGGGAUUUGGCUCGUCGUCUGCCUCCCUGCUUUUCUCACUAACAUCCGUGAAUCCUGCGCCUGAACUCGGAAGCGACUGUCUCGAGCUGCGGAUUAGCAGCGUUCAGGAGAAAAAGGAGUCGCAGUUGCAGAUCCCAGAGAAACUCAGUGUAGGACAAAAAAGCUGCCACAAUGGUUGUAUAAAUGCCUUCCUGCUGCAGAUUUCAAAGCAUGAGUAAUAGCAAAGGCCAACAAUAAUCCCAGGCUGGUUUGAAUUGCCUUUUUUUCCCCCUUGUUUUUUUUCUAGCUCUCCACAGCAUGUGCCACGGACUCAACAGCUUACACAGCGACGCGCGGAGCAGACACCAGAAGCAGCCCGCAGCAACGGGCGAGCUCUUCUGCAGAGCCAUGAAUGCAGCAGGGGCCGAGCAUCUGACACUAUUUCCUCCCAGCCCUCUCCAGCCUCUGCUGGGAGCGCCCAGGGGCACGCACAGGAUGCCAGUGGGUGUGAGAAAGGGCCCUACGGAUGGGCAGCCCAAAGCCCUGACCGGUGCAGUCGUGUGUCACCCUUCAGCACCGAUGCCAGGCUUCGGGCAGGCUCCUUUUUGGCUGGGUUUUUCCAUGUUUACUCUAGUUACAGUACAAUAUUUACAAAGAGAGAGUUACACAAGUGAUUUUAAAGAGGCAGGGCUGGGACACAGCCUAUUGUUAGGGCUGCACUUUCCACCACGGCACCCUGGUUUGAUUUGUUUCUGACACUUCAGCCACUCGGUCUGAAAUUCCCCAUGCCGUUGGGAGGCUUCCCGAGCUGUUCUGCAGAGCCUUUGGAAAAUGCGAUCACGCGAUCGUGGACAAUCACACGGCAUGGAGAGCUCUAUGCACACACGUGGAGCAAGCUGGCUUCGGUGCACACCGGCACCAAAAUUUUGGUGUUUCCUCACUGUGAGCAGGUUGUUAAAGAAAUUACUUCCUCAGAAAGUAAAUCUAAAUCUAAAGCAGAGCCUGCAGGACUCUGACCCUGGAAGGAAGCAGCGUUUCUGAGCCACGAAGCAUCUCCUAUCUUCACUCCAGCACCAGGCUCUCCUCUCUGAGCAGCAGCCACUAGAGGGGGUGACACCGGACACCUUGUCUGCGACUGUCUCCACUUAUCUGCUGGCACCAGGGACAAGAGACAGAGCUGGGGGAGAGCCAGACCUUGGGAUCCUUCACACUCACUGCCCAUCCCAACACCUCCCUCCUGUGCGGGUCUCUGCCACCCGUAAGCCCUCUGCCACCCCAGUCCAUCCCAUUGCCUCUUUCUACCUCCACCAGGUAGGCACAGGGAAAACCUCGCUCAGCUCCUGAAACCCUGGGCUGGAGCCUUUAGAGAAGGUCCUCAGACGUUUUAGCUGCACAACUGAAAUCCACGGCACAGGAGCUUGGAAGGAGCACGUGGGGCUGGGCAGGAGCUGCUGCCCCCAGGUCUCCAUCCCCCCUGCAGGUCCCUCUGCAAGGGCCAGGGAAGGCAACGAAGCAGAGCAAGCUCACACACAUGCAGUGCAUGCACACGAAGCAUACAGGAACCUUGCAGGGAAAAGAAAGGGGAAAAAAAAUAUAAAACCACCCACAAAACCUAGGGACCUACAAAUCAAAAGCAAUGGCCAGCAACAGAACUGGGCUCUGCCCCAGCUGUCUUAUCCACAACAACUCCCAGGGAAGGAGGUUUCAUACCCUCCCUAGGUGGUCUUGCAACAGUUUCAUGAUGAUAACAGGAAGUUUUUUCAAUAUCCAGCCUCAAUCAUCCUGGCAAAUUAGCAAAUCAGUAAAUUAAGCUGCCACGGGAAUCUAGGACUUUAAUAACCACUAUUACACGCUGGAAGCCUGCUGGAUUGCACAACAGUUUUCUUUUUGUUACACUGAACAAAAUUAGUUCUUUCAACCUCUUCUCACGUUCCUUAAUCUUUUCUUGUUGCUUCCUUCUGGACACCUUCCAGCACGCCUGCAUCCGCCUCGGAGCAGGACACCCACAACUGGAUUUGAUGACACCGACAAGGUCUCCGCAGCACCACGCAUGACCACAGGCUUAGACAACAGAAGCCAUCAGAUGAACCCAGAAGUGCAACUUUAUCUAGUCUGCUACAUGAAGUCAAAGAUUUAGCAAGUAAUGAAUCAUAACUGCUUUCUGCCAUCAUCAGCACAAGAAGAAAAGUAUAUCAGGGUACAGCUCAUUUCACAUUGCUGUUUAACUUCCAUAUUGUUGAAGAGACCCAGCUCCAUUCCUGAAUUACUUUGAAUUAUUACAGUAUGUAAAAGUCAAAGCAGAUUUCUCAUUAACAUCAAGGAUCUUAAGUUAUUCAAUUUAAAAAAUGCUAAAGUCUAAUUUUCAUAGAUCACAUCAAGUUGUCACCCCAGCUCUGCUCUAGAUCCCUCCCCAAAAGAGCUCAAUAAGGACUGGUGGAGUCUCCGGCAGGAUGAGCACUCACUCAGCACGAAAGGGACUGGGGGAACUGUUGGUACAGAAUUUCUGUAGCUGAAUAAACCCAACCUCUGAGAAAGCAUUCUGGUGAUUUAACAAACAGACACUUUAAAAACCCAUUUUAAUUGGAAAAACCAUUUUUCCAUUAUUUUCUUUUCAGUGUUUACAACCCUACAAACCAUUAUUUUCCUAAACACUUUUCAGCUGCAGCUUUUCCGUGACAUGCACAAGAACCUCACUCAGGCCCAGCACGUGUAUCCUCUACAUGUAACACUGGGGCACGCUUUUGGCAUCAAGGGUCCUGAUAACCCCCAAGUCUUUGGAAACCAACUCACAAGAAGGAUUUUUCCCCCUUCUCUUUCCAGUGUGUUUGAUCUUCUUGUUAUUUUGCCCGAUUCCACUACACAAGCAGUACUGGAACUUGUUAGGUUCCAAUUUUUUAUUUUUAUUUUUUAAAUAGCCUGUGUGUACAAACAGCUUUCCGCAUUGCGUAUUAAUAAACAACGUUGUGCAAACCUCUCAGCCACAAACCAAGGGUUAAUGCAGUUCCCAGGCAGCUUUUCCCCGGUUCCUGAGAGCAGGGUAAGGCUGCUGAAUACCUGCAGCUCCUGACCAGCUGCAAGUAACAACACUUCUAUUUGCAACAAGUUCAGAAAACCGCUUUUACUAACCACAAAAUGGCUCAGUAAUGAGAAGGCAAUGAGCACCUGAAAGACUUCUGGCUACAAAAAAGUCAGCACUAAAUAAAGCAGAGACAGGACGGGGCAGGAGAUGCACUUUUCAUGAUUGCUUUUUCACUGGCCAGCUCCCUACUCAACCUAGAUGUGUGAAUUAAGCUCUAUUUAUAAGCCUUGCACCAUAUUUUUUUUUAAUGGCCUUAAUAUAGUGCAGUUGUUAUUUUGUUUCUGUUGAACGUAGCAACAGGAAACCGUGUCAGUCCUGCAGCAAACUUUCCAUUCCCCUGACACUCCCAUUCCUGCAACAGAAAAGCCAGAUUUCUAAAGAGGUGUUUGAUGGGGUGGGGAGGUGGAGAGGAAGAAGAGAAGAAAGCACACACAAAGUCUCCAAAUGCCUGUAAAACAUGCAAAAUGGAAGCCAAAUUCAAUGUUUCUUUACUUUUUUUCUUACUUUUUUUUUUCCUUGUUUGAGAGGCAAGCAGCUGAAAAUAAACUGAUAUAAUAAGAGGACAGGGAGUGUCCUAAUUCGUACCUUCUAAAUAUAUCUUACUGUACGGCACCUAAGCAUUA